UACGUAGGGUGCGAGCGUUGUCCGGAAUUAUUGGGCGUAAAGAGCUCGUAGGCGGUCUGUCGCGUCGGUCGUGAAAACUUGGGGCUUAACCCUGAGCUUGCGGUCGAUACGGGCAUGACUGGAGUUCGGUAGGGGAGACUGGAAUUCCUGGUGUAGCGGUGAAAUGCGCAGAUAUCAGGAAGAACACCCGUGGCGAAGGCGGCUCUCUGGUACGUGACUGACGCUGAGACGCGAAAGCGUGGGGAGCGAACAGG
rnacentral:rRNA from 1 species